UACGGUAGGGUCCAAGCGUUAUCCGGAAUCACUGGGCGUAAAGCGUACGUAGGCGGUCGCUUGCGUGAGAUGCGAAAUCUUGUGGCUCAACCAUGUAGACUGUAUCUCAUACGGGGGCGACUUGAGGACGUGAGAGGCAAGUGGAACUUGCGGUGUAGCAGUGAAAUGCGUAGAUAUCGCAAAGAACACCAAUGGCGAAGGCAGCUUGCUGGCGCGUAUCUGACGCUGAGGUACGAAAGCGUGGGGAGCGAACAGG
rnacentral:rRNA from 1 species